rnacentral:rRNA from 1 species
UACGUAGGGUGCAAGCGUUAAUCGGAAUUACUGGGCGUAAAGCGUGCGCAGGCGGUGAUGUAAGACAGAUGUGAAAUCCCCGGGCUUAACCUGGGAACUGCAUUUGUGACUGCAUGGCUAGAGUACGGUAGAGGGGGAUGGAAUUCCGCGUGUAGCAGUGAAAUGCGUAGAUAUGCGGAGGAACACCGAUGGCGAAGGCAAUCCCCUGGACCUGUACUGACGCUCAUGCACGAAAGCGUGGGGAGCAAACAGG